rnacentral:rRNA from 1 species
AGAGUUUGAUCCUGGCUCAGGAUUAACGCUGGCGGCGUGCCUUAUACAUGCAAGUCGAACGGAAACCUUCGGGUUUUAGUGGCGAACGGGUGAGUAACACGUAAGCAACCUACCCUAAAGACGAGGAUAACCAUUGGAAACAGUGGCUAAGACUGGAUAGGAAGAAAUAAGGCAUCUUAUUUCUUUUAAAAGACCUAGUAAUAGGUAUACUUUAGGAGGGGCUUGCGCCAUAUUAGUUAGUUGGUAGGGUAAUGGCCUACCAAGACGAUGAUGUGUAGCUGGACUGAGAGGUUGAACAGCCACAUUGGGACUGAGACACGGCCCAAACUCCUACGGGAGGCAGCAGUAAGGAAUUUUCGGCAAUGGAGGAAACUCUGACCGAGCAACGCCGCGUGAACGACGAAGUACUUUGGUAUGUAAAGUUCUUUUAUCAAGGAAGAAAAGCAAGUGGCGAACCAUUUGUUUGCCGGUACUUGAUGAAUAAGCCCCGGCUAAUUAUGUGCCAGCAGCCGCGGUAAGACAUAAGGGGCAA